rnacentral:tRNA from 1 species
GGACCUGUAGCCUAGUCUGGCAACCUUUUGCAAAAAGCUUGGACAAAAGCAUGUGGCAUAAAACCACAUAGGUUGGACAAAUAAGGCAUCAGCCUCCUAAGCUGAAGAUCGGGGGUUCGAGUCCCCCCAGGUCCG